UCCAUUGUUGUCUAGCGGUUAGGAUAUCUAACUUUCACUUAGGAAACCUGGGUUUAAUUCUUGGCAAUGAAA
rfam:Ipomoea nil DNA, scaffold: scaffold2647, cultivar: Tokyo-kokei standard.